GAAAGUCAGUGCUUACGUAACACAUGGAAUUUUCCCCAACAGGUCCUUCGAACGAUUUGAACCCGAUAAUGGAGGAUCGCCCGAGAAUGGAUUAAGUUAUUUCUGGAUAACAGAUUCAUGUCCAGAGACAGUAAAGGAGGUGAACAACAGGCCUCCAUUUUAAGUUCUUAGUCUUGCUGCAUCUAUAGCUGCUACUCUCCAGAUUUGAUUUUACUGAUAAAAUAAUACAAUCCCGACUACAGAUUGCCUGAGAGUUGUUUAUGAUUUGAUCCUCAAGUAUAUUGUUAGUGUUCUUAAAAUGUUUACUUAUGAGUGUAGCUAAUAAAAUGAUUACCCAAGCAGAAAAACCAUAUUUUGUAUUUGUACAAUAAACAACUUGUUUUCAUCCA